GUCACUAUUCUUGAUCCAAGGACUAAGUUUAGGAUCAAACUCAUCAAGUGGCAUCUCUAUAAUGUAAUAGCGGUGGGACAACAAUAGCUUAAUGAAGGCUAACAUGCAGUGACAUCUACAAGAAAUGAUACAGAUAAAUAUUUUAAAAUUAUUUAUACAUAAUUUAUUAAUCUCAAUAAUAUAUUAAUAGAAUUAAAAUCAGAUCGGAUAU
rnacentral:lncRNA from 1 species